UACGUAGGGGGCAAGCGUUGUCCGGAAUCAUUGGGCGUAAAGCGCGUGUAGGCGGUCCGGUAAGUCGGCUGUGAAAGUCCAGGGCUCAACCCUGGGAUGCCGGUCGAUACUGCCGGACUAGAGUUCGGAAGAGGCGAGUGGAAUUCCCGGUGUAGCGGUGAAAUGCGCAGAUAUCGGGAGGAACACCAAUGGCGAAGGCAGCUCGCUGGGACGUUACUGACGCUGAGGAGCGAAAGCAUGGGGAGCGAACAGG
rnacentral:rRNA from 1 species